CGGUAGCUAAUACCGCAUAACGUCGCAAGACCAAAGAGGGGGACCUUCGGGCCUCUUGCCAUCAGAUGUGCCCAGAUGGGAUUAGCUUGUUGGUGGGGUAACGGCUCACCAAGGCGACGAUCCCUAGCUGGUCUGAGAGGAUGACCAGCCACACUGGAACUGAGACACGGUCCAGACUCCUACGGGAGGCAGCAGUGGGGAAUAUUGCACAAUGGGCGCAAGCCUGAUGCAGCCAUGCCGCGUGUAUGAAGAAGGCCUUCGGGUUGUAAAGUACUUUCAGCGGGGAGGAAGGUGUUGUGGUUAAUAACCGCAGCAAUUGACGUUACCCGCAGAAGAAGCACCGGCUAACUCCGUGCCCAGCAGCCGCGGUAAUACCGGAGGGGUGCAAAGCGUUAAUCGGAAUUACUGGGCGUAAAGCGCACGCAGGCGGUCUGUUAAGUCAGAUGUGAAAUCCCCGGGCUCAACCUGGGAACUGCAUCUGAUACUGGCAGGCUUGAGUCUCGUAGAGGGGGGUAGAAUUCCAGGUGUAGCGGUGAAAUGCGUAGAGAUCUGGAGGAAUACCGGUGGCGAAGGCGGCCCCCUGGACGAAGACUGACGCUCAGGUGCGAAAGCGUGGGGAGCAAACAGGAUUAGAUACCCUGGUAGUCCACGCCGUAAACGAUGUCGACUUGGAGGUUGUGCCCUUGAGGCGUGGCUUCCGGAGCUAACGCGUUAAGUCGACCGCCUGGGGAGUACGGCCGCAAGGUUAAAACUCAAAUGAAUUGACGGGGGCCCGCACAAGCGGUGGAGCAUGUGGUUUAAUUCGAUGCAACGCGAAGAACCUUACCUGGUCUUGACAUCCACGGAAGGUCUCAGAGAUGAGACUGUGCCUUCGGGAGCCGUGAGACAGGUGCUGCAUGGCUGUCGUCAGCUCGUGUUGUGAAAUGUUGGGUUAAGUCCCGCAACGAGCGCAACCCUUAUCCUUUGUUGCCAGCGGUUAGGCCGGGAACUCAAAGGAGACUGCCAGUGAUAAACUGGAGGAAGGUGGGGAUGACGUCAAGUCAUCAUGGCCCUUACGACCAGGGCUACACACGUGCUACAAUGGCAUAUACAAAGAGAAGCGACCUCGCGAGAGCAAGCGGACCUCAUAAAGUAUGUCGUAGUCCGGAUUGGAGUCUGCAACUCGACUCCAUGAAGUCGGAAUCGCUAGUAAUCGUGGAUCAGAAUGCCACGGUGAAUACGUUCCCCGGGCCUUGUACACACCGCCCGUCACACCAUGGGAGUGGGUUGCAAAAGAAGUAGGUAGCUUAACCUUCGGGAGGGCGCUUACCACUUUGUGAUUCAUGACUGGGGUGAAGUCGUAC
rnacentral:rRNA from 1 species